rnacentral:rRNA from 1 species
AACGAACGCUGGCGGCAGGCUUAACACAUGCAAGUCGAGCGCGGUCCUUCGGGACUGAGCGGCGGACGGGUGAGUAACGCGUGGGAACGUGCCCUUUCCUCCGGAAUAGCCCUGGGAAACUGGGAGUAAUGCCGGAUACGCCUUUCGAGGGAAAGAUUUAUCGGGGAAGGAUCGGCCCGCGUUGGAUUAGGUAGUUGGUGGGGUAACGGCCUACCAAGCCGACGAUCCAUAGCUGGUUUGAGAGGAUGAUCAGCCACACUGGGACUGAGACACGGCCCAGACUCCUACGGGAGGCAGCAGUGGGGAAUCUUGGACAAUGGGGGCAACCCUGAUCCAGCCAUGCCGCGUGAGCGAUGAAGGCCUUAGGGUUGUAAAGCUCUUUCAGCGGGGAAGAUAAUGACGGUACCCGCAGAAGAAGCCCCGGCUAACUCCGUGCCAGCCGCCGCAGUAAGAC